GGCAGUCUGAAGAAGCAGAGGAAGGAGGAGUAAUGAUAGAGGCAGUCUGAAGAAGCAGAGGAAGGAGAAGAGUAAUGAUAUAGAGGCAGUUUGAAGAAGCAGAGGAAGGAGGAGAGGAGUAAUGAUAGAGGCAGUGAAGAAGCCGAGGAAGGAGAAGAGUAAUGAUAGAGGCAGUCUGAAGAAGCAGAGGAAGGAGGAAAGGAGUAAUGAUAUAGAGGCAGUCUGAAGAAGCAGAGGAAGGAGGAGAGGAGUAAUGAUAUAGAGGCAGUUUGAAGAAGCAGAGGAAGGAGGAGAGGAGUAAUGAUAGAGGCAGUUUGAAGAAGCAGAGGAAGGAGGAGUAAUGAUAGAGGCAGUCUGAAGAAGCAGAGGAAGGAGGAGAGGAGUAAUGAUAUAGAGGCAGUUUGAAGAAGCAGAGAAAGGAGGAGAGGAGUAAUGAUAUAGAGGCAGUUUGAAGAAGCAGAGGAAGGAGGAGAGGAGUAAUGAUAUAGAGGCAGUCUGAAGAAGCAGAGGAAGGAGGAGAGGAGUAAUGAUAGAG